rnacentral:rRNA from 1 species
AAAUUGAAGAGUUUGAUCAUGGCUCAGAUUGAACGCUGGCGGCAGGCCUAACACAUGCAAGUCGAACGGUAACAGGAAACAGCUUGCUGUUUCGCUGACGAGUGGCGGACGGGUGAGUAAUGUCUGGGAAACUGCCUGAUGGAGGGGGAUAACUACUGGAAACGGUAGCUAAUACCGCAUAACGUCGCAAGACCAAAGAGGGGGACCCUCGGGCCUCUUGCCAUCGGAUGUGCCCAGAUGGGAUUAGCUUGUUGGUGGGGUAACGGCUCACCAAGGCGACGAUCCCUAGCUGGUCUGAGAGGAUGACCAGCCACACUGGAACUGAG